UACGAAGGGGGCUAGCGUUGUUCGGAAUCACUGGGCGUAAAGGGCGCGUAGGCGGCCGAUCAAGUCGGGGGUGAAAGCCUGUGGCUCAACCACAGAAUUGCCUUCGAUACUGUUUGGCUUGAGACCGGAAGAGGUUAGUGGAACUGCGAGCGUAGAGGUGAAAUUCGUAGAUAUUCGCAAGAACACCAGUGGCGAAGGCGGCUCACUGGCCCGGUACUGACGCUGAGGUGCGAAAGCGUGGGGAGCAAACAGG
rnacentral:rRNA from 1 species